rnacentral:rRNA from 1 species
AGGGUUUGAUCCUGGCUCAGAACGAACGCUGGAGGCGUGGAUUAGGCAUGCAAGUCGAGCGAGAACGCUACUUCGGUAGUUAGUAAAGCGGCGAAAGGGUGAGGAAUAUAUAGGUAAUAUACCCCUGGGACGAGGAUAAAGGCCGAAAGCCUGGUAAUACUCGAUGGUACAGAACAGUCGCAUGGCGGUUCUGUUAAAGUUGGCGCAAGCUUUCGCCCAGGGAUUAGCUUAUAUCCUAUUAGCUAGUUGGUGAGGUAACUGCUCACCAAGGCAAUGAUGGGUAGCCGGCCUGAGAGGGUGGCCGGUCACACUGGGACUGAGACACUGCCCAGACUCCUACGGGAGGCUGCAGUCGAGAAUCUUCCGCAAUGCACGAAAGUGUGACGGAGCGACGCCUCGUGGACGAUGAAGGCCUUCGGGUUGUAAAGUCCUGUCAGUAGUUAAGAAUAAGCUGUCGCGAAUAACGGCAGUGAUGACAAAAGCUACAAAGGAAGUCACGGCUAACUCCGUGCCAGCAGCCGCGGUAAGACGGAGGUGGCUAGCGUUGUUCGGAAUCACUGGGCUUAAAGAGCACGUAGGCUGCUUGAUAAGUGGAUGGUGAAAGCCCCCGGCCCAACCGGGGAAUGGCUAUCCAAACUAUCAGGCUUGAGUUUCGGAGGGGUGAGUGGAAUUCCUGGUGGAGCGGUGGAAUGCGUAGAUAUCAGGAGGAACGCCGGUGGCGAAAGCGACUCACUGGUCGAAAACUGACGCUGAGGUGCGAAAGCCAGGGGAGCGAACGGGAUUAGAUACCCCGGUAGUCCUGGCCGUAAACGCUGAGUACUUAGUAGGGGAGGUUCCUAUACUUUCUCUGCUGGAGCAAAAGUUUUAAGUACUCCGCCUGGGGACUAUGGUCGCAAGGCUAAAACUCAAAGGAAUUGACGGGGGCUCACACAAGCGGUGGAGGAUGUUGCUUAAUUCGAAUCAACGCGAAGAACCUUACCUGGGUUUGACAUGUACGUAGUACAGACCUGAAAGGGCGAGGAUCCGGAAUUCUCCGGAAGCGUACACAGGUGUUGCAUGGCUGUCGUCAGCUCGUGCCGUGAGGUGUUGGGUUAAGUCCCGUAACGAGCGAAACCCUUGUCGUUAGUUGCCAGCGGGUAAUGCCGGGGACUCUAGCGAGACUGCCUUCGUUAAGAGGGAGGAAGGUGGGGACGACGUCAAGUCAUCAUGGCCCUUACGCCCAGGGCUGCAAACGUCCUACAAUGGCCGGUACAGAGGGAAGCAAAACCGCAAGGUCAAGCAAAUCUCAGAAAACCGGUCCCAGUUCGGAUUGUGGGCUGAAAUUCGCCCGCAUGAAGCCGGAAUCGCUAGUAACCGCGGAUCAGCUACGCCGCGGUGAAUAUGUUCCUGAGCCUUGUACACACCGCCCGUCAAGCCACGAAAGCCGGUAAUGCCCGUAGUCGGUAACCCAACCGCAAGGAGGGAGCCGCCGAAGGUAGGAUCGGUGAUUGGGACUAAGUCGUAACAAGGUA